ensembl:miRNA MIR302F microRNA 302f
UCUGUGUAAACCUGGCAAUUUUCACUUAAUUGCUUCCAUGUUUAUAAAAGA